ACUUAUGAUGGAUGCUAGAGAUAUCAUCUCUCAAAGGUGUGUUGUCUGGUUAGAAAGCCUGAGUUCGUGAAGAAAUUGAAAGAGAGUAUGUGCCUUGUGCUUCCUCCAUGCAAAUCUGUGUGAAGCAAAAUAGAAGAAGAUCUUGUAGCUCCUUCGCUUCAU